rnacentral:rRNA from 1 species
GCUUGUCUCAAAGAUUAAGCCAUGCAUGUCUAAGUAUAAACAACUUUAUACGUGAAACUGCGAAUGGCUCAUUAUAUCAGUUAUAGUUUCUUUGAUGGUGACACUACUUGGAUAACCGUAGUAAUUCUAGAGCUAAUACAUGCAGCAAUCCCUGACUUAGGAAAGGGUGUACUUAUUAGAUGGAAACCAAUGAGGGGCAACCCUGUAUAUGGUGAUUCAUAAUAAUUUUCGGAUCGAUCUUUGAUCGAUGCAUCAUUCAAGUUUCUGCCCUAUCAGCUUUGGAUGGUAGGGUAUUGGCCUACCAUGGCUUUAACGGGUAACGGAGAAUUAGGGUUCGAUUCCGGAGAGGGAGCCUGAGAAAUGGCUACCACAUCCAAGGAAGGCAGCAGG